AGACGAAGGUGGCAACCGUUGUUCGGAAUCACUGGGCAUAAAGCGCACGUAGGCGGGAUCGCAAGUCGGGUGUGAAAUCCCUCGGCCCAACCGAGGAACUGCGCCCGAAACUAUGGUUCUCGAGGGCAGCAGGGGAGCGUGGAAUUCCUGGUGGAGCGGUGAAAUGCGUUGAUAUCAGGAGGAACACCAGCGGCGAAGGCGACGCUCUGGGCUGCAACUGACGCUGAGGUGCGAAAGCCAGGGGAGCAAACGGGAUUAGAUACCCCAGUAGUCC
rnacentral:rRNA from 1 species